rnacentral:lncRNA from 1 species
UCUAUCAUAUGAAAAUAGUAGAGAAUGAUGCUAUGGGAAAGAAACGGACCAUGCUCUUCUUGAUGAUAGUUCUGUGUUCAUGACCUAUGUGGUUCAGAAUAUAGACCCUUUUUUCUUUUAUUUUUAAGUUGCUCUAGACCCCCCCCCUCCGCCACACACACACACACACACACACACACACCAAAAAAAAAGGAAAAAAAAAUCACCUACCUGUCUGCUUAGUUUCAUCAAAUUCAUGAAAUAGUAGUAUGGUAUGGAAACCAACUUACAUAUGAGUUGGGCCUAGUGGAAUGAUAUCUAGAAUUCAUACAGAUCUUUCAAAAUAAAAAUUGAUGACACAACUUAUAGAAUCGGUUGUCAUACAGGCUGUUAUGUCUUGGACCUCACAUGUUAUCUUUCAGCAAUUUGAAGUACUAAUAAAUCUUUCAGAGAGAAAAGAUGCACAUUCUGAAUCAGAAUAUAUAUAAUUUUAAAUAACAUAGAGAUAUUAAAUAAUGAACAGUGUGAAAUUGGAAUCUGUAUAUUAUUAAACAGGCAGUGAUUUUAUAGAUGUGAAAACUAUUUCACAAAUGAUAAUCCCGAGUUCUUGACCUGUGUGGUCAGGAAUGUAACUUUUUUUUGGAAAUAAGAACUGUACUGGAUGCCAAAGAAAAACCCAUUGUUGUUUGAAGAUAAAAGUUCUGUUUAAGAAGAGUCAUACUUAUUGGAACAAAGGAUGUCUCCCAUUUUAAAGGUAUGAGUCUUCUUUGCUAGAAGGACUUUAAUUUUCUAAAAUAGGGUUGUUGACCACAAAGUUGAGCUUGGCACCAUGAUCGGUAAAAUACGCUUCGCAUCUAUACCAUUCAUUGUCCAAUUUUUACUUUUUUUUUUUUGCAACAGGCAGUUAUUUCUUACUGGAACAUUUAUUAGUUCUUUGAAGUGUUGAAACCUACCCCACAAGAUCUGAGCAUUAGCUAGCUCAUAUGAUGAUCAAAUAUUUAUAAUAAUUAAACAAAUUCUGUCCUCAAUUUCUAUUCUGGGUAAUUUGGAUGCUUAUACUGAAUGAUGCUCUUUCAGCGUUUCUAUGACGUGUAACACUAGAAAAAGGACUUACAAAGGGGAAAAGAGCUUUUUUUUUUUAUAUUCAAAAACAAUCUGCAAGGUAAUAUUAGAUGCCAUUGCCACUGUACCAUCUAAUGUGUAGUCUUCCAUAGCUUGAAAGUCAUAAGGGAGGGAAAAAAAUUCAAUGACAUGAAUCAGUGGAAUUUAACAGAAUAGCAAGUAGGAUUUCUUUUUUGGAAAGUAGGAAUUCUUUUUGGAAAGGUCUUUGAUUUUUUUAUCUUCUAAAAUAGAAUUAAAUUUUCAAUCACAUAGGUCAGUAGAUGCUUGAAAUACUUUGAGAUCCGAUUAGUUUGGUAGAUUUGAAUUUCUUGUAAAAGAUGUCCUGUUCCUUCUCACACCGAAAAUUUUAGGUCUGUUUUAAGUCUCCACCUACCCAUGACUGCCAUCAAUGACUACAAGUCCUUUUAGUUACUCC